rnacentral:RNase_P_RNA from 1 species
GCGUUCGCUUGUUCCUUCGGGAGUGAGAGGAAAGUCCGGACACCGUAGGGCAGGAUUCCUCGUGAAAACGGGGGCGCGGCAGGGUAACCGGCCGUGACGGAUAGUGUCACAGAAAAUAACCGCCUUGGGACUUGUCUCAGGGUAAGGGUGAAAAGGGGAGGUAAGAGCUCACCGCUGUAUUGGUAACAAUGCAGGCAAGAUAAACCCAAUCCGGUGCAAGGCAAAAUAGGGAAUCUGGCGGCCCGUCUUUGAUUCCGGGUAUGUCGCAUCUCGCUUCGGCGGGAACUUCGCUUCGGCGGGGUAGAUAAAUGAACGC